rnacentral:rRNA from 1 species
UACGGAGGGUGCAAGCGUUGUUCGGAAUUAUUGGGCGUAAAGCGCGCGCAGGCGGGAAUUUAAGUCAGAUGUGAAAUCCCUUGGCUUAACUGAGGACGUGCAUUUGAUACUGGAUUUCUUGAGUCCUGGAGGGGGUGGCGGAAUUCCCAGUGUAGAGGUGAAAUUCGUAGAUAUUGGGAGGAACACCAGUGGCGAAAGCGGCCACCUGGACAGUGACUGACGCUGAGGUGCGAAAGCAUGGGUAGCAAAC